ensembl:lncRNA
GAGCCUGACAUGCUCUGCUCUCCCUCCGUCGUGCCAUGACAUUGUCACAGGAACAGACAUUAUCAGACCUGUCAGUCAGAUCGCCCGCGGCCUGGGUUGCCUGGCUUGUCGGGGAUGUCUGCCGUGAUGGAAUUUAAAUCGCUGCACAAUCUCAGCUGCAGUUAUUUUUAAAAACCACCUGGAAAUUUUGACACCAUUUUUCCAAUGUUGUAAAAGUCGCACGGAAUCGUUGUCAGUGGAAUGCCCCGGAAUUAAAAAUAAGGGAUAUUUGAGAUUUAUUUUUUGCGAGGGAAUUUUUUUAAGAUCAAAAGCGCCGGAUGGAAUUCAUAAGCUGAAAGAUAUCAUUCGAUAGGGAUGCCCAAAUAUCAAUAGACCUAUUGGUUUCAACAUCAAUACUCUACCUUUGUACUCAUACACAUAUGAUGCAAUACACACACACACCCAAAACAGACAAAAACACAAUGGAGAAAUAUAUGGGAGAAACCUUAAUAUUAACUAAUGAGACUAAUGGGUUGAAUACAAGUUGAUAAGAACAAAAACACAUUAGAAGUUUAGUCAAAAAGCAACUCACACACAUCAAUGAAGAAGGGUUUGGUGGCAAUACAAUUACACACAUAGACACACCAACAAAUAUAUCGAUGUUCUAAAAGGGGAAAUAAGACAAGAUUUGUCUUCCUUAGCUUCCUUAAAAUGAGCCGUUACCCCGGAGGAGACAAAGGAUUUAAAUAAUUGUUGUUGUGUUAUUUAAGCUUAAUGGAGGUUUUGUCAAAAGUAUAUCUGGUUCAAACACAGAACAAACAUUUAUAUAUAUAUAAUAACAUAUAAAUGUUUUAUAAAUAUAUUUUUUAACCAUAUACAAUGAACAUUCUUCUUUCUAACCCAUGAAUCUCAUUAUUCAAAUGCUAUUACGCUAGUAUCCCAAAAAAUGGAAAAACAGACUAGUAUUGGUGCAUCCCUAGCAUUGGACAAGUGGCGAAACACAACCAACAAGACAACCUAAACAUAAUGGAACGCCAAAUCCCAAAUUCAGAAAACCAUUUCGUAAUCUCACUAGAAUUGAUGGUCCUGGCUUUUAAGUACACCUGUUACCAUUCAUAGAAAUCAACAGAAUCCCUACCCACCUGGCUCCAAAUGCACUAGCUAGACCGGGCUAACGCAUUAGCCUCUGUUGUACAUAAUCAGAAUCAGACGCGCUGACUUACAAAAACAUUUCACCAAGAAGGUGGCCAGGAGAUGCAUUAGAAUGAAGUGGCAGAGCGGGGGGUUGAUGUUGGUGAUAAGUGGGUGCAGACCGGUGAAAAUAUUUUCAGACACAUUUCACACUGCCUGGUGGAUUUUGGAUGUGCAGCUUCAGUCGUGCUGUUUCGCUGUAUGCAGCUUGUUUUUAACGUGCUGUAAUGGGGCGAGGAGGAGGGUAGAGGGUGGGCAUUUCGUUUUUCUGCCUUGUAUUUAUUUAUCAUUAUUAUUUAAAAGGGUUUAAAACCGCGUGUUGGGUAUCUGGGUGUUUUUUUAACGUCUCUGCAGGCUCCAACCUCCCUUGCCUCUUGCCUUGCUGGGCAGGCAUCACUGUUGUUGGUCUGUCCCCCCCCCCCCUUCCUAAUUUUAUCUUCCACCACCCGUCCUCCUCCUCCUUCCCCCUCCACCAACACCUCAUGAAGAAGGAGACACACGGGACUUUAAAACACAGCUUUGUUAAAGAAAAAAGAGAAGAGAACUAAAAAGAAAGGAAUUUAGGGGAGAUUUGUGGACAGCAGGUAAAAAACAGAGUCAAUACUUACCUCUGCUGCUGUGUUCCCCCGAGCUGGAACUCCUAGGGCAUAACAAGCAACUAGGAGAAACGAAGUGUAUGCGAUUGGAAUGCGGCUGCUACAAGUGUAUUCAAGGUGACUUUACUCUGUGAGUAGGGCGAGGGUAGGACGUUAUAAUGAAGACAGCAAAGCUGUAUUUAUCCUAAAGCGGUAAGACAUUUGUAGCAUUCAAUUCCCAGACACACAAACGCAAACACACAAAUCUUUAUUCAUUUUUCACUACAUUGUGUCUGUACUGAAACAGUACAAUAAUAGUGGAAGGAGAGCAUAGUAUGAGUAUCCAAUCAACACUGUCAAGAUUUACAUGGCUGACUUGAGUACGUAGCUUAAGCCUUUAAAAGAGCAUAGCCGUGAAGUUGCAGUUCUAACGAAACAACAGGUUUGUUAUAACUGUUGGGCUUCAAUCGACCAGAGAAAGAACGGCAUUAAGGGCAGCUUUCUGUUGAGAUGAGCGAGUCGGACACAAAAAUGGGAUUCAAACCUGAUCCCCUGUCGCUCAGUCACAUGCGUCUAAAGAGAUGUAACCUGGGCCUUUUUUUAAUGGGUGUUUUUACUGUCACGGCUCUACGUGGUGAUGAGUCAUAGUCACUCAUUACGGCCGUCUUUUGCCCUCCUGCUCAGCGCGCACUGCUGGCAGAGGAGUUCUAAAGAGGGUCAGAGUCACUGAGUGAGUUGCUGAGUGAAGACACAUCAGGCCGCUAAUCCUAAUAGGAGCCGAUGGCAUGCUGUCACGCUGUGGCGACAAAGGGAUUGUGAGAGAGACAGAGGAGUCCAUUUGUGACUUGUGGCUUUCACUUUCUCUGUUCUUUUUAUUUCUUUUGGAGCCGGAGGCCAAUUGGUGGCUUCGUAAAAUGAAUCCUCCAAGAGAGUGAUUUGUCAAUGGGGUAAAGUUUCAUUGUACUGAUUAAAAAAAGUGCCAGACACAGACACACUUAUUUGAGGAUUGACAAUGGGCAAAGACAGACGUAAACACUGGGAAUGUAAACCGAGAUGUGCAGAUGGUGUCAAAUAAGCCACCGCCAUCAGAAUACACGGGCGAGUUGAUGGGUAUUUCUUACUGCGCCUCGCAGGAGAGGAAGGGAGAGUUGUUUAUUUUAUUGCGAUCAUUUGUACCAUACUAUGGCUUCUUAAGUGUUGUGUUUUGGAUGCUGACAUUGUGUGCGAAAAAUGUCCUAUUUUUUUUUACCUUAUGUGUAAAUAUGAAGUUGGAUUCAAAAAGAAAAAAAGAUUUUUAUCAUGAAAAGCACUAUAUGGGUCACGAUUCAAAAGAGAAAUGUUAUAAAUAUGAACAUAUCUUUUUUAAUCAUUAUCUCGAUUAUGAGCUUUUAACGGUUAUGU